UUUUGUUUUGAUCAGGAAGCAGACAACGAGACUUGCAGACGAGUUACUCAUUUGUUCAUGUGUGUUUAUUUUAUAGAUCAUUGAGAUCAUAUCACCACUUAGACGGAACAGCUUCAGCUUACCAAUUAAUUCUCCAAGUUUUUAGAAGAAGGAUUUGACUUGGCUAGUCAACAACACAAGCCAAAAAGAUCAUUGAGAUCAUAUCACCACUGUUACACGGAACAGGUUCAGCUUACCAAUUCUCCAAGUUUUUAGAAGAAGGAUUUGACUUGGCUAGUCAACAACACAAGCCAAGAUCAUUGAUAUCAUAUCAUCACUGUUACAUGGAACACCUUUAGUUGUUGUAAAGAUGCUGCCAGCUAUCCAGCUAAUGUUGAAGGCAUGCAGUCUCAAUCGAUCAUCAUAAACUAGUUAUCUCUGCCAACAUCAGUGAUAUUGUUUGUACCAAACACACUCAGGCAUGCCUUAGUGUGAACUGAGUUCAUUGUAAGUGCCCCUCCAAUAACUCAGUGCAAUUUUAAUGUGGUGAUUUUAUACUUUUUUAAUUAAGUUCAUUUGUACUUAAAUAGGAGUUUUUAUUUUAUUUAUUAUUUUGUUAUUUCACAUUUUCAUGACAUGGCAACGUCAUGAAAAUUUGCACAUUUCAAACAUAUCGGCAACGUUUAGAGCGUCAAAGACGCUCAUGUCUCCUAGCACUUUACGAGAGCACUUCUCUCGUGGUGAAACCGUGAAAUAGUGUUUUAUUUAUGUGAAAUAAGAAGCCGUCAAGUCGAUAUUCGAAAUUUUCCGUCACAUAAAAGUUCCAAACUCUUCAUCUAUGCGAUGGACAUCACUCAGUGGAGUGCUUCUGAAGUUAAGCAAGCUUUGGAAGCAGAAGGCUUUGAGUUGGAUAUCUGCGAAACUUUGUGUACGCUCAGAGAAUCUCAAUCCAACAUGUUCAAGUCAAGCUGAGACUGCGUGAACACCAAUGCUGACAAAGUACGCUCAGAGAAUCUCAAUCCAACAUGUUCAAGUCAAGCUGAGACUGUGAACACCAAUGCUGACAAAGUACGCUCAGAGAAUCUCAAUCCAACAUGUUCAAGUCAAGCUGAGACUUCAAACACCAAUGCUGACAAAGUGAGUCUGAUGGACUGAUGUGUUCCGUAAUAUUUCAUUUUUUGACGAUUGAUUGUAACUUCAAUACAAUAAUGUGUUACUCA